AAAUCCAACAAAAACAAAAAAAAAAAGUGCGAUUGCAGGGUUUCUCCGCCAGAUUAUCGGAAUAUGUCAAUCACGAUGAGGAUGUUAGUGUAAUCCUCUGAGCGGGAAGCGACUUUCAAGUGUUGUGCUGAAAAUUGAUGACCGUUCUUUCUGACGGUUUACGAUGUCAGAGGAGGAUGGAACAGGCUGAGUGGU